rnacentral:rRNA from 1 species
AACGUAGGAGACAAACGUUAUCCGGAGUUACUGGGCGUAAAGGGCGUGUAGGUGGUAAUGUAAGUCUGGCGUGAAAUUUUUCGGCUUAACCGGGAAGGUCGUCGGAUACUGCAUCACUAGAGGACGGUAGAGGCGUGUGGAAUUCCGGGUGUAGUGGUGAAAUGCAUAGAGAUCCGGAAGAACACCGACGGCGAAGGCAGCGUCCUGGCCGAGCGACUGACGCUCGAGGCACGGAAAGCCGCGGGGAGCGAACGGG